rnacentral:tRNA from 1 species
GGUGGCUCAGUGGUAGAGCUCUUGCCUUGCAUGCAUGAGGCCCUGGGUCCAAUUCCUCAGCACCA